AGCACUGAGCUAAAUUCUGGGUAUUCAAAUAAAAACAACAAGAGACAGUCCCUGUUCUGAAGGAGCUUACAUUCUCAUGGAAUGCAUGGAAGGGAGCUGAAAAGCAGGACAAGGUUCUACAGAGUGGUACCCCAAAACUCACCAAAACAUUUCAGCAUUUAUAAAAACAUUCAAACCACGAUUUAGAAAUUCAGUCACAAAUUUAGUCUGAAUUCACUUUAAAUGCCACAAAUCCCUGCAGAGUAGGGCACAAAGAUUCCCUCUUUUCUUUAUCUCUUGUCUGCCUUCUAACUUAGCCAGAGUUUAGAAAGGCAGAGAGACGCUUUCUAGAGAAAUAAGUUUUUAUUCUUUCUCCUUCGGCUGAUCAGGCCCCAAGAAAAAGCUAGUUUGACUCGCAACAGAUAAUACAAGACAGACCCAUGAACACUUAAAAAUUGUGCGCAAGUAAAAGUUCCUUUUCAGGCCAGAUUUGGAACUUUUCUUUAUGUUUUAGACUAAUUUGGGUAAGGACUGGGGGUCAGCUAGAGAGACACCCUCAGCUUCAUCUUUGCUCGCUCUAUUUCCAGUUAUUCUCUUCUGACUCAGAUGAGUCUCUGUUUCCAGACUUUUUGAGGGCUUUCUAACCCCUUUUGAAUGGGAGGUGCCAUUCUACCUUCUCACCAGUUAUAGCUGGAGGCCCAGGACCUAAUCUCCCUUCCUGCUAAUGGCAGUGAGUGGCCUGAGACUUGUGUUGAUCACUCCUUGGCCUGAGCCAAGGCUCUAGUCUCCCUUGGAUGAAAAAAAUGUCUCCGAGGGGCUUCUCUCUUGGGGAUUUCCCAGUUUUCUAUUUGCCAGUUAUUGCCAGACAGCCACUCUAAAAACAACCAGGACAUCAAGACAGAUAAAACAUGUUGCAAUUUCUCUAGUAGUGCAGGGCCUUCUACCUUGGCUUGGAACAGUUGUUACAAAAAGGGAAGUCAGGAGAAGUCCUUCAGUGAAAAAGAGUGUUCUAGGGAAUGCCCCAGAGGUUGUCCCAGGAGUUGGGAUCCCUUCUUCAGCUUCCUGGCUGGCUCGCCAACUGUCUCGAUCGCCAUUAAGGGUUCGAUUGCAGUUCUGAUCAUUAUUCUGCAGUGGUUCUCUCACAGACGCUAGACUUCUCUUUCAUGGAGUAAUUCUCCCAUCUUGUGGACCUUGGGAAUAUUGUUCCCGAAGAGGGUUAAGAGGACGGUAUGGUCUCUUCAACAGUUAUCUCUUAGAUUUGUUUUAUUGGAGCACACCCACUGGAUUGUCUGAGAAUUUUAGGAGAUUUAUGGUCAGCUGGUUGAAAUUAAGCUGAGACGUGAGCCAAGCCCAGGGGCCAGAGGUUUCCCACACCUCUAAAAAGGUUUCAAGUGACAUUUGUAGGCAAGGCUCCUUUAAGUUUGAUGUCUGUGCCCUGGAUAACCCAUCUUCUCCCCCGCCCCCCCAUAUCAUGUUUUUAAAUGUA